CGGCAACAGCUCAAAUUUGAAAUCCGGCCUCGGCCCGAGUUGUAAUUUGCAGAGGAAGAUUCUGGUGAGGUACCUGCUGAGUCUCCUGGAACGGAGCGCCGUAGAGGGUGAGAGCCCCGUAUAGCAGGACGCCAAGCCUUUGUGAAUCCCCUUCGAC
rnacentral:rRNA from 1 species